CUAAAAAACAAACAGAGACAAAUACAUAAAUAAAUCAGUACAAGUACAAGCCUCAUAAUCCAUUAUGAAAGUGUCAGAGUGAUGAAUGCCAUGGGCAUAGUAACAGUUAAUAAAGAAAAUAAUGUGUUGGAGGAAUAUUUAAGAUAACUGAGGCUGCUACAAGCAAAACUACAGAAUAAUUUCAUCAUAUACAUUUUUUUUUGUUUCCAAAUUAGAUACAAGAUUAAGCCUUGGGUCUCCCUGGCAGUGGAGGGCGAUUCUGAUAUUCACAUAUAACUACCCACAGGGCAUGGAUUCUGAGAGAUGCUGAUAAAAGAAGUUGGUGUCUUCUUGGCAUUUGUCCCCAAGGAUCUUCCAAUACCCAGAGAAUCUGCAUUUACACAGAUCAUGCUCCCUUGGGAGCUUCUCUUGACUGCCCCCCACACCCUCAUUCGUGGCUUUUCCUCUUUGAUCUCCCACUUCAGUCCUCACACCUGUCAACACUGUGCUUAUUACCAUGUGGAGUGGUUAGAAGAUCUUCCCAGAGUCAAGACAUUUCCAGGGUCACCCUUCUCUUAGGCAUUUCUUGGCACGACUGUCCUGAAUAAAGGAAAGGAGAUGAAGGUGAUGUUGAGAAGCAUCUAGAGGGCUGGAGUCAGGGGGAACCGGCUGAGGCUGUUGGAUCAAGUUUUAGCCACUGGUAAAAGACCUCCAAGCUGCGAAUGCUAUUGCCAUCUGUGUAAAGUCGCCUCCGAGAUUAGAACAUGCCAAAGACUGAAGAAAGAGGUCUAGGUAGCAUAAAGCCAUCAUGUAAUUGAAGUUUCUUCCGUUUCCAAGGACAGGAAGCGUGCAAAUGGCUCUGCGUUCUCAGUAGGGGUGGGGCUAAGAAGUGAGCCUGCAAAUGGUAGUUUGGGCGAAGACUUGUGUGAUGCAUGCAGGGACUCAAAUUUAGUGUCCUCUGAACACAAACACCCUCUAUGAUCCGGGUUAGGUAUCGCUCCUGUGAACGUUCAAAGAACACCUUUAUAUUCUGAGGGGACACCGUUCAUCAUCAGAUCACUGUUGACGGAAGCCAGGUUCUGCUCUUGGGUGCUAUCUCCUUAGUUUUGAGAAUAUGAAGGUUUGUUUAGAAAAAAAAAAGCAGAAAAAAUUCACUGGAAGAUUUCACAUUUGUAUAUAUCUUUAUGAAAUGUGACAGUGAAGUGUUAGGGUAGAGAUAUUUGAUCUGAUUACCAUUAGGAUAAAAUCAAAUCUCCUUACCAUGUCUUACAUGUGUACUUGUCCAAUCUUGUCUCCUAUAAUUGUCCAACCAACCCGUUCUGUUCCAGCCUCACUGGCCUUCUUAUUCUUUCACGAAGCUCACACUGUCCUCCAGAGCCUUGCACUCUCUUUUGCCUGGAAUGCUCUCCCAGAUCUUAACAUGAUAGGAAAACAAAAGACAACUGUUUGUCAUGUCUACUACAGUCUCAGCCCCAUGAGGCAGAGUCCAUGCCCAUUUUCCUUCCAUGCAACAUUCCUGGCACCUAGAGAGUGACUGAUGCAUAAUGGCUGGUAAAAUAUUUGAUUAAAAAAUAUUUUAGUGUAUUUCCUCCCCCAAAAUAUACAUACACAACAGAGGCAGUUAUUUUGUCUAUAUCUUUAGCACAUUUUAGGCAUUUAGUAAAUUUCUGUUGAAUCCAUAUGGAAUUCUUCAGAUUGAUCUGUGAACACUUUAGAUUUGAAAAAGGAGAAAAUCAUAAAACUAAGGGUAAUGGGGAGAGAGCAAAACCAAAGGCAGACAUGGGAAGAUUCUCCUUAUACAAAAUACUUUUUCCAUGUCUAUAAUGAACCCCCAAAUUAUCUGGAUACUUACAACAGUGGUAGCAAGGGAAUGUCUCGUUAAUGCAGGUUCUCUAUUCUCCUCAAUUAAUUUCAGGUCCUUAAUUGUGCAUGACAUAUGAAACAUAAAGGGUGUUUAUUUGCUAAUCACCAGCAUUAAUUAAUUCAAAGACUUACCUGAGAUUCUGUUUGCGCAAUAAAAAUUAAAAAGAUUACUCAGUAAUACAUUGGGAGAGGUGUAACUGGGGCAUUAAAAUACGAAUGUGUGUCUAAUUUUCAAACAUCAUAAGUAUUUUGAAAGCACUUAUACAUAAUCAAUUAAUAUAUGUUGUUAACUAAAUUCAUAUGAAUAAUAUGUGAUAUAAAUUAGUGUUUUGUAUUAAUUUCAAGACAAUUAGAAAGAGAAUGUCACCAUCACUCUUUUGAUUCAAUCAACAGUCCUUAGACUGGUUCCUUGUAAUGAAUUUAAUGGGUUAGUAAAAGCUGUGUUAUUUGAAAUU
rnacentral:lncRNA from 10 species